rnacentral:lncRNA from 1 species
GGAUAAAGUAGGCUAAACUUAAGCAGGUUCCCCACGUUAAACUGCUAUAUGCAUUAUGCUACAUGUCAUUGUAAAAUUGUAAUAGGCUUCUUUUCUUAAAUGCAUAUGACUCGGGAUGUCAGUUUGACGUAAGCCAGUAUGGCUAUGAUUAAACUAAUCAAGAGCAUAUUUUUAAAUGAGCGGGUCGGGUGCAUUAUUUUUAUAUAAGGCCUAAUAUUUGAGGUCCGAGUUGCGGUCAUUUAUGUACACGCGCACGAAUACUAUAGAGAGAUCGGUUCCGUGAUUUAGAAAAGUACAAGACACGCCUCCUACUACAAGUUACGCCUACUACAAGUCACGCCUCCAUCUUGCAGGAAGCAGACGGAUACUAUUGGAGUGGUUGCGUAAAUAGCACACCUGUUUUUGAAGUGGAUGAUUAUGUUGCAAAGGCGUUGAUUGGCUACAGGGCCAUAAUAUAAAGAGAUAGCAGAGGAUCAGUGCAACAGUGUUUUAGGUCUGGUUUGGCCUCAACCAAUCUGUCUGGGAAAUACUUUGAAUAUAGUUUGCCAUGGCUGUUGGGUGCAUUCUCAGGUGACAGAUAUACCUCCAAGACUGACCAUCCUGAAAUUGGGGGUGAUAAAGAUGACAAGCUACAAACUUCUCAUACUCUGAGGUUUGAGGCAUAUAGCCUAGCAAAAGGAUAUUCAGACCGAAGCAAAAAAGUCCCACUAGCUGCAGCUCCAAAGCAGGCACUGUUGAACCCCGAGGAAGGGGCGAGGAUCCAGGGAGGCAGAGCUGUGGAGUUUGGACAGAAAAAUGCUGAGAUUGAAGACCAGAAACUUCCUCUAAACCCUGCCAACCAGCAUGAUUACUCUUUUGAGGAGCAGAGGGGCAGCGCAAAGCCUCAGUUCCCUAAGCCUUCUACCAAACCAUCUUCAGAACUGGCAGGCUCUGACCUUAUCCCUCCUACUCCAUAUCUGUUGAUGGACGAUGGUGCAUUCAGUAGUGGUCCUACUUUGGAGUCUAAACAAGUGUCUAAAAGUGGCGGGUACUUUAAUCCUACCCAGAACCUCAACUUCCAGGCUGGUGAACAAGAGGGCUCACACUUCUAUGCGGACCAGCCAAGAAGUCGGUCCUCUGCUUCCUACAUGACCGGAGGAGGGGAGCCAGUAUUCUCCAUUAAUUCAGAUGAUGACCCCUACACCUAUGACUCUGUGAAUGCGGAACAGCCAAGCAGUUGGUCCUCUGAUCGUUACAUUACCAGAGAAGAGACGGUAUUCUCCAGUAAUGCAGGUGACUGGGCCCAGGCCGCUCUGAACAUUGGCGCACAGAUCCUGGAGGCUGAAGCAGUACCUAGUAUUGACACUAAAGGGGGUUACUCUAGCUCUUCACUGCACCUUGACCUCCCAGCUGGUGUACAAGAAGGUUCACAAAGCUAUUCCCCUAACCUUGUCGAUGAGGCUGUUUAUCAAUACCCUGCUGCUGAAGCUGCACAUCUUCCUUCAGAAGAGAGUGACCUCUCCGACUACAACUCUGUGAAUGUGGUCCAGCCAAGCACUUUGUCUUCUGCUCCCUACAUGACUAGAGAAGAGGAGCCGGUUUACGUCAGUAAUUCAGGUGACUGGGCCCAGGCUGCGCAGACCAUUAGCGAACAGCCUCUGGAGGCUGAAGCAGUACCUAGUACUGACACUAAAGGGGGUUACUCUAGCUCUUCACUGCACCUUGACCUCCCAGCUGAUGUACAAGAAGGUUCACAAAGCUAUUCCCCUAACCUUGUUGAUGAGGCUGUUUAUCAAUACCCUGCUGCUGAAACUGCACAGCUUUAUUCAGAGGGGGUUGACGCCUCCAAGUAUGACUCUAUGAACGCAGUCCAGCCAAGCACUUGGUCCUCGGCUUCCUACAUGACCAGAGAAGAGGAGCCGGUAUUCUCCAGUCAUACAGGUCACUGGGCCCAUGUUGCUCCUGUGGAAACCCCUGCCUAUCCAAGCGAUGUGGCUGAUUUCGUCUUGGACUCGACUUCAAGUAAAGCCGCUGCACAACCAGUCCUCUUCAAGCCACUGAAGAAGGCUCCUCAGCUGCCCAGCUCCAAGUGGCUUCAGAGGCCAAAGAAGGUGAGGGACCAGACUGCAUCUACCUACAUUGUCCAAUCCAAGGGCUCACACCGCCGAAGCCGCCAGAUGUUAUCCAAGAAGAAGUACUUCAGCGGUUUCCCUCCACUGCCCCCAUUCGUGCUUAUGGCUCUGAGACCGUAAGGGGAUCUUAAACAUACAGGAAGCGAGCAAGUGGCUAAAACAGAUGAAGGAACAGAACCUCUCCAAAGGUGCAGUCGAGGUGCCGCGCUUCCCUGGCAUGGAAGACAGCGAGGCUGCACAAUCCCUAGAGUAUUACAUAGAAAAUGGUGUCACCUUAAUUGCUAAAGAAAAGUAUGAAGUUAUGGAUCCUUUUCUAUUUAUGUUUGAGUAUUAUGGGGACAUGCAAUUGUUUUUUGGAAAACUUGAAAAUGAUACGACGAUUAAAGUCCAUUGGGGAUUGUUUUAACCGAAA